rnacentral:ncRNA from 1 species
CAGAGGUUGCGCUCAACAAGAGUAGUAAGUAUGAGCUCGGAAAAGCGUUGAUUACUUACAAAAGGGGAGAGCGCCGAAGUUUACUGCUGAUUUCCAAAGGUAGUGAGCUGGGACUUGGUUUAAUAAACCAAGUACUGUCGCAGCGAUUUCGGCAUUCGCUGCGGAGCGCUAUC